GCGGGUAGAUUGAGGUGAUUUGAAGUCAUUUUGUUCUCCUAGGUAGGGGAUGCCUGCU
rnacentral:tRNA from 1 species